CUCCGACUUCCUGCUGUCGCUUCUCUCGGAGUUGCCGGCGACUCGCUGUGUCUUGCCCUUGAGGAAGGAAAUUGGGGAAGGAGUGCGUUUGCAGGCUACAGCUUGGUGUUUGCAGUUUUCUUCGGGGAGAAUCUUGCUUCUUUUUCUUCAUUCUUCGCGCCCCCCUCCACUGCCCACGACUUUGCGCAGAGAGGCCGCUAUGGGCGGUUUCAGUGUCGCGUGCCUCUGUACAUAGAUUUAGAUACGCAUCGACAGCUGAGAUAGAAAAGAUUUUUGCGGUGAAGGUUUUGAGACUCGCUCAUGCGGGAGAGCACGACUGAAAAGAAGCGCGUAUUUUCUUCCGUUGUCUUGAUCGCAGUCUCUGUCGGGCGACCUGAAGCAUUUUUGAGACUUCUCAUUCUCUUUUACACAGACAGAAAGGUCGAGCUUCAGCGUCUGAACAAGCGAAACGAGAGAGUGAGAGGAACGGCUUUGUUCCUGCGUCUUCUCGACUUUUCCGGAGAAGCUAGGGAACCUUUGCAAACUCCAAAGACACCGCCAAAGAGGGACAGGACAGACGCAAGCGUGCCGUUCCUUCGCGCUUUUCCUCUGGCGUCUCUCAGUUGUUGUUUCUUUCGUCGAAAAACGAUUCACUCCUCUCUCCUCGCACACAUUCUGGAAGCAUGCUCGCUUGAACCCUGCAGCUUCCACUGCUAGUCCCUGUCUGUGUCCUGCUCAGAAAGGAGUGGACUUUCUGGCAGUCGACGCCAGAAUCUCAGAAGAGUAAUCGAUCAAAGGGAUCUCCAAGGAAAAAGAGAGUUUUCGCUGAAAGUAGUGAGACCGUGAGAAGACAGACUGUGUGUGCCUGGAAUUCGAGAGAGGCGCUGUGAAGCCUCCAAGUUCUUUAUUCCCGCGUCUGAGGCUCGAGACUUCCUUACGCAGAGUUUCUCUUCCC
rnacentral:lncRNA from 1 species